rnacentral:rRNA from 1 species
AUACGUAGGGGGCGAGCGUUGUCCGGAAUGAUUGGGCGUAAAGGGCGCGUAGGCGGCCCGGUAAGUCUGGAGUGAAAGUCCUGUUUUUAAGAUGGGAAUUGCUUUGGAUACUGUCGGGCUUGAGUGCGGGAGAGGUAAGUGGAAUUCCCAGUGUAGCGGUGAAAUGCGUAGAGAUUGGGAGGAACACCAGUGGCGAAGGCGACUGACUGGACUGUAACUGACGCUUAGGCGCGAAAGUGUGGGGAGCAAACAGGAUUAGAUACCCUGGUAGUCCACACUGUAAACGAUGAAUGCUAGGUGUAGGGGGUAUCGACCCCUUCUGUGCCGCAGUCAACACAAUAAGCAUUCCGCCUGGGGAGUACGGCCGCAAGGUUGAAACUCAAAUAAAUUGACGGGG